rnacentral:rRNA from 1 species
GCCCGCUCAGAAACUCAAAGAUUGAGGGGCCCGCACAAGCGGAGGAACAUGUGGUUUAAUUCGAUGAUACGCGAGGAACCUUACCUGGGCUAGAACGCAUUCGGAAUCAGGCCGAAAGGCCUGCGCCAGCGAUGGCCGCUUGCGAGGUGCUGCAUGGUUGUCGUCAGCUCGUGCCGUGAGGUGUCGGGUUAAGUCCCAUAACGAGCGCAACCCCUACUGCUAGUUGCCAGCGGGUCAUGCCGGGGACUCUAGCGGAACUGCCAGCGUAAGCUGCGAGGAAGGUGGGGAUGACGUCAAAUCAGCACGGCCCUUACGUCCAGGGCUACACACGUGUUACAAUGGCCGGUACAGAGGGCAGCCACCCCGCGAGGGGGCGCGAAUCCCGAAAGCCGGUCCCAGUUCGGAUCGGAGUCUGCAACCCGACUCCGUGAAGCUGGAUUCGCUAGUAAUCGCGCAUCAGCCACGGCGCGGUGAAUACGUUCCCGGGCCUU